rnacentral:rRNA from 1 species
UAGAGUUUGAUCCUGGCUCAGAACGAACGUUGGCGGCAUGGAUUAGGCAUGCAAGUCGAACGAAUCCCGGGGUAGCAAUACCUCGGGGGAAGUGGCGAAAGGGGCAGUAAUACAUGGAUAACCUACCCUGGGGUUGGGCAUAGCCGUUCUAACGAGCGGGUAAUUCCCAGCGAUUCGGCGGCGGUGGCAUCAUCGCACCGGGAAAGAACUUCGCCUCGGGAGGGGUCCAUGAGCUAUCAGCUAGUUGGUGGGGUAACGGCCUACCAAGGCGUAGACGGCUAGCGGGUGUGAGAGCACGACCCGCGCCACUGGCACUGAGACACUGGCCAGACACCUACGGGUGGCUGCAGUCGAGGAUCUUCGUCAAUGGGCGCAAGCCUGAACGAGCGAUGCCGCGUGAGCGAUGAAGGCCUUCGGGUUGUAAAGCUCAAAAGAGGUGAGAAAGGGAAACUUGAUCAAACCUCAGUAAGCUCGGGCUAAGUUCGUGCCAGCAGCCGCGGUAAGACGAACCGAGCGAACGUUGUUCGGAAUCACUGGGCUUAAAGGGCGCGUAGGCGGAUUCUCAAGUCCGGGGUGAAAUCCCACAGCUCAACUGUGGAACUGCCUCGGAUACUGGGGGUCUCGAGGGUGGUAGGGGUAUGCGGAACUAUCGGUGGAGCGGUGAAAUGCGUUGAUAUCGAUAGGAACUCCGGUGGCGAAGGCGGCAUACUGGACCACAUCUGACGCUGAGGCGCGAAAGCCAGGGGAGCAAACGGGAUUAGAUACCCCGGUAGUCCUGGCCCUAAACGAUGGGUACUAGCUAGUAGGGUUCACAUGGCUUUACUGGCGAAGCAAAAGUGCUAAGUACCCCGCCUGGGGAGUAUGGUCGCAAGGCUGAAACUCAAAGGAAUUGACGGGGGCUCACACAAGCGGUGGAGCAUGUGGCUUAAUUCGAGGCUACGCGAAGAACCUUAUCCUAGACUUGACAUGUGCGAUAGCGGUGGGCGGUAACUCCCGGAAACGGGGUGUGAUUCCUCGCAAGAGGAGGACCCACUACAGGUGCUGCAUGGCUGUCGUCAGCUCGUGUCAUGAGAUGUCGGGUUAAGUCCCAUAACGAGCGAAACCCUUACCUUUAGUUACUACGGGUCAUGCCGAGGACUCUAAAGGGACUGCCGGUGUCAAACCGGAGGAAGGCGGGGAUGACGUCAAGUCCUCAUGGCCUUUACGUCUAGGGCUGCACACGUGCUACAAUGGCGUGAACAAAGGGAAGCCAAGGCGCGAGCCGGAGCAAAUCCCAAAAAACACGCCCCAGUUCAGAUCGUGGGCUGCAACUCGCCCACGUGAAGUUGGAAUCGCUAGUAAUCGCGGGUCAGCAACACCGCGGUGAAUGUGUUCCUGAGCCUUGUACACACCGCCCGUCAAGCCACGAAAG